rnacentral:rRNA from 1 species
GUGAAUCAUCGAAUCUUUGAACGCACCUUGCACCUUUUGGUAUUCCAAAAGGUACACCUGUUUGAGUGUCAUGAAACCCUCUCAUUCCAAUUCCUUAUUUGAUUAAGGAAAUGUGUAAUGGAUGUUGAGCGUUGCCGUCAUUGGCUCGUCAUUUAAAUUUAUAAGUACCUUUAUUGAAUAAAUAAAUGGAGAAAUACUUGGUGUAAUAUUUAUUAUUCAUUGAGGAAUGUAGUUUUGUUACUACAGCCAUUUGAGUUUUCAAUAGAUAGCUUCCUAACCCCAGUUUAUCAAACUUUUAGACCUCAAAUCAGGUGGGAUUACCCGCUGAACUUAA